rnacentral:rRNA from 1 species
UACGUAGGGUGCAAGCGUUGUCCGGAAUUAUUGGGCGUAAAGAGCUCGUAGGCGGUUUGUCGCGUCUGCUAUGAAAACUCAGGGCUUAACCCUGAGCCUGCAGUGGGUACGGGCAGACUAGAGUGUGGUAGGGGAGAUCGGAAUUCCUGGUGUAGCGGUGGAAUGCGCAGAUAUCAGGAGGAACACCGGUGGCGAAGGCGGAUCUCUGGGCCAUAACUGACGCUGAGGAGCGAAAGCAUGGGGAGCGAACAGG